rnacentral:rRNA from 1 species
UACAGAGGGUGCGAGCGUUAAUCGGAAUUACUGGGCGUAAAGGGUGCGUAGGUGGUUUUCUAAGUUGGGUGUGAAAGUCCUGGGCUUAACCUGGGGAUUGCGCUCAAUACUGGAAAGCUAGAGUACUGUAGAGGAAAGUGGAAUUUCCGGUGUAGCGGUGAAAUGCGUAGAUAUCGGAAGGAACAUCAGUGGCGAAAGCGGCUUCCUGGACCAGCACCGACGUUCAGGCACGAAAGCGUGGGGAGCAAACAGG